rnacentral:rRNA from 1 species
GAUGAACGCUAGCGGCAGGCUUAACACAUGCAAGUCGAGGGGUAUAGUUCUUCGGAAUUAGAGACCGGCGCACGGGUGCGUAACGCGUAUGCAAUCUACCUUUCACAGAGGGAUAGCCCCAGAGAAAUUUGGAUUAAUACCUCAUAGUAUAGCAGUUUCGCAUGAAACCACUAUUAAAGUCACAACGGUGAAAGAUGAGCAUGCGUCCCAUUAGCUAGUUGGUAAGGUAACGGCUUACCAAGGCUACGAUGGGUAGGGGUUCUGAGAGGGAGAUCCCCCACACUGGUACUGAGACACGGACCAGACUCCUACGGGAGGCAGCAGUGAGGAAUAUUGGACAAUGGGCGGCAAGCCUGAUCCAGCCAUGCCGCGUGCAGGAUGACGGUCCUAUGGGUUGUAAACUGCUUUUAUACAGGAAGAAACACUCCGACGUGUCGGAGCUUGACGGUACUGUAAGAAUAAGGAUCGGCUAACUCCGUGCCAGCAGCCG